UCAACCAAACCCUAGUUUCCGUGAAAAAACCUCUUUCCUUCGUCACUUUCAACGCCAAGAAUGGCCACUCUAUCAUGCGUUUUACUUUGCACAAGACCUGCAUGUCCAUUUUGGGUAAAACAUUUAAUGCUUUACACUUUCUCCCCCGCAGCUCCACUGAGAAUAGAAGUGUGGAUGAAAAUCAAGAUCUCCAAAUCCAUUCUGUCUCAAAAGCUGCACAAAAGAAAGGUGUAUACAGAUGAGUAGAAGACAUUGGCUGUUGGAUGUUCCCAGGCUAUCAGCUGGAUUGGUGAGCUCUAUCUCAGUUCAGAGUGUUGCCGAGUCAGAGUAUUUAUGUUAUGGUAUCUCGUGUAUGUUAGAGACUUUUGCAGACAGUGUCCUGUGGAUAGUGAGUCGAGAUGUCGACAGUUGUGUAAAGCGACCAUAUAGGUCGAUGUGUUUUUAUGCUUUGUUUUUAAAGAUUUUAUUGUGACUAAAGGUUUUCUUCGAAUUGACGAUAAGU